UUUCUUGUAUUGAACUUCAUGCGCAACUGGAAUGGCCUCCGUCUAAUUAAUUUCAUAAGCAAGGAUUCUAACGACCUAAGGUGCACUUUUCUACUGGACUUGCUGACGUUCAAGACAAAUGAAGCUUCUCUUCCAGAUUGGGUUAAACUCCAGCUCAGCCAGCUUAGGGAUUAGACUAGUAGACAACAUUAUCCGCAAACAUUUCCCUAUAGAUUUUCUUCAUUCGUAGCCAGCCACACUGUACUUUGCUUAACUAUGUCAUUGUAUUUGCAUAUUCUCCUUACUUUCAGAAAUGAAUAUCAAUCUCUA